rnacentral:sRNA from 1 species
AACUGUUCCUCUCUGGAGGUUCAUACCUUCAAACUCAUGGGUCGCGGUUUUCCGACGGCCCUUUUCUUUUUUCUCU